rnacentral:rRNA from 1 species
ACGAACGCUGGCGGCGUGCUUAACACAUGCAAGUCGAACGAGAAGAGAUGAGAAGCUUGCUCUUAUUAAUUCGAGUGGCAAACGGGUGAGUAACGCGUAAGCAACCUGCCCUUCAGAUGGGGACAACAACUGGAAACGGCUGCUAAUACCGAAUACGUCUUUUUGUCGCAUGGCAGAGAGAAGAAAGGGAGGCUCUUCGGAGCUUUCGCUGAUGGAUGGGGAUGCGUCUGAUUAGCUUGUUGGCGGGGUAACGGCCCACCAAGGCAACGAUCAGUAGGGGUUCUGAGAGGAAGGUCCCCCACAUUGGAACUGAGACACGGUCCAAACUCCUACGGGAGGCAGCAGUGAGGAAUAUUGGUCAAUGGGCGAGAGCCUGAACCAGCCAAGUAGCGUGCAGGACGACGGCCCUAUGGGUUGUAAACUUCUUUAGUGCGGGAACAAAGCGGUGUCGUGACGCCGGAUGAGUGUACCGCAAGAAUAAGCAUCGGCUAACUCCGUG